AACGAACGUUGGCGGCAUGCCUAACACAUGCAAGUCGAACGAGACCUUCGGGUCUAGUGGCGCACGGGUGCGUAACGCGUGGGAACCUGCCCUUAGGUUCGGAAUAACUCCCCGAAAGGGGUGCUAAUACCGGAUAAUGUCUUCGGACCAAAGAUUUAUCGCCUUUGGAUGGGCCCGCGUUGGAUUAGCUAGUUGGUAGGGUAAAAGCCUACCAAGGCGACGAUCCAUAGCUGGUCUGAGAGGAUGAUCAGCCACACUGGGACUGAGACACGGCCCAGACUCCUACGGGAAGCAGCAGUGGGGAAUAUUGGACAAUGGGCGAAAGCCUGAUCCAGCAAUGCCGCGUGAGUGAUGAAGGCCUUAGGGUUGUAAAGCUCUUUUACCCGGGAUGAUAAUGACAGUACCGGGAGAAUAAGCUCCGGCUAACUCCGUG
rnacentral:rRNA from 1 species